GAUUCAUUCUCCGCCAAUCCCUGGAGGACAAGUAGCAGGGGUGAUAGUGGGGUGAUAGUGGGGUGAUAGUGGGGUGAUUCGUGCUCUGCCAAUCCCUGAAAGGCAAUUAGCAUAGCCCCAGCCUGUUGUGCCGCUCGAGGUCCCCGUAUCAGUAAAGAGGUGAUCCUGCAAUAAAGGCUGUUGAGAAGAAUCCAACCGUGUUGCGUCUUCCUUGCCGGACGAGCCUGCUGCGGAUGGGUCCCUCCUCCUGCAAAAACAGAAAUGUAGAUAUUACGGUCACCACGGUUGUUCCAUCACCAUGAAGAGGUGACAUCAUAACGUGCAAUACAUCUGACCACAGCUUGAACAUUCCACAGGACGAGAAGAGCAUCGCAACCAGUUCCAAUUGUGAGCGGCCUCCGCAUUUCCAGACUUAAUGCCGUAGGUGCAGAGAAUCUUCCUGACUUGAAAACUGAGACACCCUCAUUCCGUCAGAGCCUCAAGAGCCAGUGUCCACAUCCUGAGCCUUCCUACCUCUGUGGCCCAAUUCUUGAAGCUUCCUUCUUUGGCAACCAUUUCUGGUGGGACAGCUUUUCGGAUCUGGUCACAGCAUCCGUACCGCUCACUGGAUAGUAUGCUUGCUUUUCCCCUUGAAUAAAACAGCCGAUCUGA